CCGGUGGCUCCUGCCUGUAAUCACAGCACUUUGGGAGGCCGAGGCGAACCGAUCAUCUGAGGUCAGGAGUUCGAGACCAGCCUGGCCAACAUGGUAAAACCCCGUCUCUACUAAAAUACAAAAAUUAGCCGGGUGUGGUGGCAGAUGCCUGUAAUCCCAGAUGCUCGGGAGGCUGAGACAUGAAAAUCGCUUGCGCCAGGAGGUGGAAGUUGCAGUGAGCCGAGAUCGUGAUACUGCACUCCAGCCUGGGUGACAGAAUGAGACGCUCUCUCUCUCUCUCUCACAUACACACAAUCAAUUUAAAUCCCAUUGUUCCAGAGCCGUUUGUUAAUCUGUUCUCUGCUGUGCUGCCAUUGCCUCUUUGUGAAACAUCACUUGACUACCCUUAUGUGUGCCAGUUUGUGGGUUCCCUAUUCUGUUGCAUUGAUCUAUCUGUUCUUUCACUAAUACCACACUGUCUUGAUUACUGUAGCUUUAUACAGUCCAUCUUGAGGUUGGGUAGGGUCAGUCCUGUGACUUUGUUCUGCUUCAACGUUGUUGGCUAUUCUGGGUCUUUCAGCUUGUCCAUGGCAACUG
rnacentral:lncRNA from 1 species